GACGGAAGGUGCAAGCGUUGCUCGGAAUCACUGGGCGUAAAGGGCGCGUAGGCGGCCUGUUAAGUCGAACGUGAAAUCCCCGGGCUCAACCCGGGAACUGCGUCCGAUACUGGCAGGCUUGAAUUCGGGAGAGGGAUGCGGAAUUCCAGGUGUAGCGGUGAAAUGCGCAGAUAUCAGGAGGAACACCGAUGGCGAAGGCAGCUCGCUGGGACGGUACUGACGCUGAGGCGCGAAAGCGUGGGGAGCAAACAGG
rnacentral:rRNA from 1 species